rnacentral:rRNA from 1 species
GAUGAACGCUGGCGGCGUGCUUAACACAUGCAAGUCGAACGGAAAGGCUCCUGCUUGCAGGGGUACUCGAGUGGCGAACGGGUGAGUAACACGUGGGUGAUCUGCCCUGCACUUCGGGAUAAGCCUGGGAAACUGGGUCUAAUACCGGAUAGGACGAUGGUUUGGAUGCCAUUGUGGAAAGUUUUUCGGUGUGGGAUGAGCUCGCGGCCUAUCAGCUUGUUGGUGGGGUAAUGGCCUACCAAGGCGUCGACGGGUAGCCGGCCUGAGAGGGUGUACGGCCACAUUGGGACUGAGAUACGGCCCAGACUCCUACGGGAGGCAGCAGUGGGGAAUAUUGCACAAUGGGCGCAAGCCUGAUGCAGCGACGCCGCGUGGGGGAUGACGGCCUUCGGGUUGUAAACUCCUUUCGCUAGGGACGAAGCGCAAGUGACGGUACCUGGAGAAGAUGCACCGGCUAACUACGUG